CUUCAGGUGAGAAGUAGGGGAGUGAUCCCCUGAAGAUGAAGGGGGAGGGCUAAUUGUGCCCCUCCCCAAUGAUGGGAGGUGAGGAGAGAUGUCCCUUCCUGGUCUCCUCCAGAAGACUCUAAGGGAUCGAUCUCUGCGUGAUCCAAAUGGACUACCUCAGCUGCCUCUGAAGCUGACACCUUGAGCUAUGGGGAAACUGGGGCACAGAGAGGGGAAGCGACUUGCUCAAGGUCACGCAGCAGGCCAGUGGCAGAGCUGGAAAUAGAACCUUGGACCCUUGAGUCCCAGUCCACUUCUCUGUCCAUUAGGCAACACCGCAUAAGGGCAGUAGGAGGCUACUGGACUCAUCGUCGAGGCAAG